rnacentral:rRNA from 1 species
AACGAACGCUGGCGGCAUGCCUAACACAUGCAAGUCGAACGAGACCUUCGGGUCUAGUGGCGCACGGGUGCGUAACGCGUGGGAACCUGCCCUUAGGUUCGGAAUAACUCCCCGAAAGGGGUGCUAAUACCGGAUAAUGUCUUCGGACCAAAGAUUUAUCGCCUUUGGAUGGGCCCGCGUUGGAUUAGCUAGUUGGUAGGGUAAAAGCCUACCAAGGCGACGAUCCAUAGCUGGUCUGAGAGGAUGAUCAGCCGCACUGGGACUGAGACACGGCCCAGACUCCUACGGGAGGCAGCAGUGGGGAAUAUUGGACAAGGGGCGAAAGCCUGAUCCAGCAAUGCCGCGUGAGUGAUGAAGGCCUUAGGGUUGUAAAGCUCUUUUACCCGGGAUGAUAAUGACAGUACCGGGAGAAUAAGCUCCGGCUAACUCCGU